rfam:Otolemur garnettii contig175465, whole genome shotgun sequence.
CCAAAGGCUCUUUUCAGAGCCUCCCACUUUUUCUAAAAAAGAGCC